rnacentral:rRNA from 1 species
AUUGAACGCUGGCGGCAUGCCUUACACAUGCAAGUCGAACGGCAGCAUGACGUGUAGCAAUACACGUUGAUGGCGAGUGGCGAACGGGUGAGUAAUAUAUCGGAACGUGCCCUGUAGCGGGGGAUAACCUAUCGAAAGAUGGACUAAUACCGCAUACGCUCUACGGAGGAAAGCGGGGGUCGCAAGACCUCGCACUAUAGGAGCGGCCGAUAUCGGAUUAGCUAGUUGGCGGGGUAAAAGCCCACCAAGGCGACGAUCCGUAGCUGGUCUGAGAGGAUGAUCAGCCACACUGGAACUGAGACACGGUCCAGACUCCUACGGGAGGCAGCAGUGGGGAAUUUUGGACAAUGGGCGCAAGCCUGAUCCAGCCAUGCCGCGUGAGUGAAGAAGGCCUUCGGGUUGUAAAGCUCUUUCGGCAGGGACGAAAUGGUUCGUGCUAAUACCACGGAUUGAUGACGGUACCUGAAGAAGAAGCACCGGCUAACUACGUGCCAGCAGCCGCAGUAA